CUCUAUUUCAGAUCUGAAGAAGUCUGCCCAGGGUUAAACUCCUGACCUUCAUCACAAAAAGAAGAGCAAAUGCAGUUCAAGAUUGAGGUCAAAGAUUUACUACUAACUCUACAACUGGGAAGCAAGGGCAGGAAUCCAGUCUUGGUAAUUGUUUCUUCCUGUCAUAGUCUCAAUAUGAUUAAUCAGUAAACAAAAUAUUCUUCCAAAACCUCGUUACAAAAUUACAUGUGAUAUAACACCUG